rnacentral:lncRNA from 1 species
CCUGAAGAAUGAAGAGGUCCAUGUGUGCACCUGGAGAGCCCCCCAUAGGCAAGGCUCUCUGCAUCUUGGUGGUUGCUGCAGGACUGUUCCUCCUUGCAGAAACACGUUCUCUGCAGGGAGAAAUACUGGACUUACUGGGAAGGAAUGAUAAGUACGUGUCUCUGGUCAACCACAGCAUCCCUCAGCUAUGUCAGUUCACGGUGUGCAUCGAUCUGAACCGAACGGCCAACAUUAGCUCUUGGGCAGCGUUUUCCUAUGACACCAAC